rnacentral:rRNA from 1 species
AGGAUUAGAUAGCGUGGUAGUCCACGCCGUAAACGAUGAUAACUAGCUGUCAGGGUUCACAGAACUUUGGUGGCGCAGCUAACGCAUUAAGUUAUCCGCCUGGGGAGUACGGUCGCAAGAUUAAAACUCAAAGGAAUUGACGGGGGCCUGCACAAGCGGUGGAGCAUGUGGUUUAAUUCGAAGCAACGCGCAGAACCUUACCAGCGUUUGACAUGCCUAGUAUGGUUUCCAGAGAUGGAUUCCUUCAGUUCGGCUGGCUAGUGCACAGGUGCUGCAUGGCUGUCGCCAGCUCGUGUCGUGAGAUGUUGGGUUAAGUCCCGCAACGAGCGCAACCCUCGUCUUUAGUUACCAUCAUUUAGUUGGGUACUNUAAAGAAACCGCCGGUGAUAAGCCGGAGGAAGGUGGGGAUGACGUCAAGUCCUCAUGGCCCUUACGCGCUGGGCUACACACGUGCUACAAUGGCGACUACAGUGGGCUGCAAUCCCGCGAGGGUGAGCUAAUCUCCAAAAGUCGUCUCUGUUCGGAUUGUUCACUGCAACUCGAGAGCAUGAAGGCGGAAUCGCUAGUAAUCGCGGAUCAGCAUGCCGCGGUGAUACGUUCCCAGGCCUUGUACACACCGCCCGU